ACGCUCGACACCUACGGAAGGCAGCAGUCGGGAAUAUUGCGCAAUGGAGGGAACUCUGACGCAGUGACGCCGCGUAUAGGAAGAAGGUUUUCGGAUUGUAAACUAUUUUAGACAGGGAAGAAUAAAGACAGUACCUGUAGAAUAAGCUCCGGCUAACUACGUGUCAGCAGCCGCGGUAAUCUGAGCGGGCUGGCAAGGC
rnacentral:rRNA from 1 species